AGUCAAUAGAUACCCAGGUAGUCCAUGCCGUAAACGAUGAUUGCUAGGUGUGGGGGGUCUGACCCCUUCCGUGCCGGAGUUAAACACAAUAAGCAAUCCACCUGGGGAGUACGGCCGCAAGGUUGAAACUCAAAGGAAUUGACGGGGGCCCGGCACAAGCAGUGGAGUAUGUGGUUUAAAUUCGAAGCAACGCGAAGAACCUUACCAGGUCUUGACAUCCACCGAAUCCUGUAGAGAUAUGGGAGUGCCUUUCGGGGAACGGUGAGACAGGUGGUGCAUGGUUGUCGUCAGCUCGUGUCGUGAGAUGUUGGGUUAAGUCCCGCAACGAGCGCAACCCUUGUGAAUAGUUGCUACGAAAGAGCACUCUAUUCAGACCGCCGUUGACAAAACGGAGGAAGGUGGGGAUGACGUCAAAUCAUCAUGCCCCUUAUGACCUGGGCUACACACGUACUACAAUGGUCGUCAACAGAGGGUAAGCAAGACCGCGAGGUGGAGCGAACCCCGUAAAAACCGAUCUCAGUUCAGAUUGCAGGCUGAAACUCGCCU
rnacentral:rRNA from 1 species